ensembl:lncRNA
ACAACCCUCCAACCCAGAGCGCAGUGAAGUCUACCCACGCUGGCACUCUCUCCUACUGACACAAGAGAUGGAGGGAGAGAAGGAGAGAGAGAGGGAGCGGGGAGAGGAGAAAGAGAGCGACGAGACGGAGGAAGAGGAGAAACAGAGCGACGAGGCUGAAGAGGAAGAUGAUGAAGAGGAUGAUGAUGAAGAUGCGGAGGGAGCUGCGUUGGUGUGGCAGGAGGGGUCAUACGGAGAGGAUGACCUGGGCCUACCCAUAAUGCAUUGGGAGGCGCUGAGCCUGCGCAUCGCAGAGCUGGAGAAACAGGAAGUGGAGAAGAGAGAGAAGAAAACAAAGUCUUCCAGUGUCCUUGAACGAGGUAAGAAAUUGUCAGCAAGCCGGCCGGAGGAGAGAGAGAGAGGGAAGACGCUGUCCAUGAACCGGCCAGGAGACAGGGAGCAAGGGAAGAGUAAGGAGAGCUGGGAGGACAGAGGCGAGGAGGACUGCAAUAGCCGCGUGACAGCCCUAACCUCGCGUCUUUCGAAUCAGAUGAACCUCCAGCUGUGCUUCAUCAAUGACAGCGGAAGCGAAGAAGAAGAUGAAGAUACUGGCAAAAAAGUUAGUGUGAAGAAUUCCAAAAUUGUUGGUAAGAGCGGUUCCAGUGUGCAGGUGCGCCAGCAGCCCAAGUUCCCUGCCCCCCCUGCAGCCAAGAGCAAAUCAUCAGGCUUCAAGGCUGCACUGAGCGCGCUCAGAAACAAGCUGAGGACCGAGCAGAAACAGGAGAGCCCAGCUUGUUGUAAUCAGCUGUUGAAGAAUAAAAGGCUGGACCGAAGUGACCUGCAAGCCUUCAGUCUCAAAGAGCUCAACGCCCACCAAAACUCUCUCAACAAGGCUAUACAAGACCUUAGCACAGAGCUGGUGGUUCAUCUUCAGACUCGGGACCAGCUGAGGACAGAACAGGAUGCUAUGCUGCUGGAGGUACAGGACAUGACAUCACUCUGACGUCACCUUAGAAUCACAUAUAGAACCCUGACCAAGAUGGCUGCCAUUAUCAGCACAAUCUAGAGCUAUGCAGGUCUAUGACAAGCCACUCUUGUGUAUUAUAUACUCUAUGGACGACACUUUCAGAAGGCCCAUCACCAUAGAAUAAUUUGAAUCUUUCUAAGUUCUACGAUCAUCGUCUAAUAAAAUGGAAUCCCGGUGUCAGAGAUCAGGUCACAAUCCGUCAAUGACGGACACCGGUGCUUGAAAUUAAUGGACGAAUCAAAUCAAUGUGAAGAGACUGCAUCACUCCUAAAUACUUUUUUGGAUUGAAUUGCACAGCAUUUUGUUUUUAUUCCCCAGUGAGCAAAACUGGUUGAAAUGACGUCAUCGAACCCAGUUUCACAUUUAUUAUGACAUCAUAUCAACCGGUUUUGCUCUGUGUUUUUUUGUGUUUUUAUAAAGGGAAACGUGUAUGUCUGGACUGUUAAUGUUGUUGUGUUGUAGUGUUUUAGGGGGAAAAUAACGGUAAUAUUAUAAGGGAUUAAUAAGCUGCUAUUGCUACCCAUGGAUCAGUCUAGUUCAAAUGUCCAUUGUCAUCCACAUGUUGAAAUGCAAUGAUCGUUUGGUAGCACAUUAUUUGAACUAUACGUCAUACGGUAUCAUAACAAAUGUCCGAAGAUUUCUUGUCAUUGAGCGUUACGACGUAGAGUUUGAAUAAAGUGUUACCGAUUGUUUUUUAUUCUUGUUGCCGGGACACUUUUCAUUGUUUGUUUUGAUUUUUAUGUUGCCGGGACACAGCUAUGUCUUCUAUUCUCGUCGAUGUUUUAAUGUAUGCAUGAUGAUCGUUGAAUGAGUCAGUCAGAGAAAGGGGCAUUACUAACCAAACAGACACACACACAGUAAUGUGAGCACAGCUCAACUCAAUGACUUGGGUCUACUGAAAUAGCAGGAAAAGUAAAGGGUAUGGAAUACUAUAUUAACCUGCAUACUGUUGUAAUAUGACAACAAUGUAACCUACCAGCCGACCGACAAGAUGCCUGACCAAGCCUCACUCGUUUGGUACUGUUGUCAUAAAACACCAACACAAGGAGCAUUGGGAUUUUGUCCGGGUUACAUGAGUUUGACGUCACUGUUGACGUUGUUUUAUUCUACAAUAAUUUUGCAUGAAAUAAACAGGUUGUCAAGGAUACAUAUUGUGUGUAGGUGUGCUAGUGCUGCUUUGUAUGUAUGUAUGUAUGUAUGUACCUGUAUCUAGAGAUGGAUUAAGUGUACAUGUACAGUAGCUAUUUACAUAAUGUAUUUAGCACAGAUGUAAAUUGUAUACAUUGCCGUCUGUGUGUGUGUGCGUUCGUGCGUGCGUGUGUGUGACUUCAGCCCUGGUUAGAGUUUGCCUUAGCCAAAUGUCUAGAUCAGCAGAAUGGGAGGAAGAGAGGGGGACAGGGGGAGGGAGGGAAAGAUAGAGGGACAAGAGGAGAGAGAGGGUGGGAGGGAGGGAGGGACUGUGUCACACCGACAAAGACACGAGGCAGACAGGGAUGAGUUAGAGGAGCCAAAAACAGGUAGACAGGAGGCAGACCUGAAGGUGACUCAUUAUGUCAAGAGAGAGAUAGACUUUCCAACACAGAGUUUCUUGAUUGGUCAUUUUGUUCUUAUAUAUUCACCAUUUUACCCGUGGUCUUCACUGGUAUCUUCUUGAUUGGUCAUUUUGCUCUUAUAUAUUCACCAUUUUACCCGUGGUCUUCACUGGUAUCUUCUUGAUUGGUCAUUUUGCUCUUAUAUAUUCACCAUUUUACCCGUGGUCUUCACUGGUAUCUUCUUGAUUGGUCAUUUUGCUCUUAUAUAUUCACCAUUUUACCCGUGGUCUUCACUGGUAUCUUCUUGAUUGGUCAUUUUGCUCUUAUAUAUUCACCAUUUUACCCGUGGUCUUCACUGGUAUCUUCUUGAUUGGUCAUUUUGCUCUUAUAUAUUCACCAUUUUACCCGUGGUCUUCACUGGUAUCUUCUUGAUUGGUCAUUUUGCUCUUAUAUAUUCACCAUUUUACCCGUGGUCUUCACUGGUAUCUUCUUGAUUGGUCAUUUUGCUCUUAUAUAUUCACCAUUUUACCCGUGGUCUUCACUGGUAUCUUCUUGAUUGGUCAUUUUGCUCUUAUAUAUUCACCAUUUUACCCGUGGUCUUCACUGGUAUCUUCAGUCUUUUAGUUUUUUUGGACUCUGUUUUUCUAACUUGGAGAACAGGGAUAAAGGAAGAGCACUUUGAACCACAGCUCAUUUCAACAGGUAUGUCCUUUUAUUUUGCUUACAAAGCUCACAGAUUGCAGGGAUUUAGGUAUUUAUGCUGUUUACAUUUAUAGAUUUAUUACAGUUACAUUUAUUGCCACUCUCUCUAUGUGCCAUAAUUUCUUAUGACAACCAGGAGACCAGUCCUGACACACACAGUACAACCAGGAGACCAGUCCUGACACACACAGUACAACCAGGAGACCAGUCCUGACACACACAGUACAACCAGGAGACCAGACCUGACACACACUAGGACACCAGAGACGCGUCCUGACCACACAUACAACGGAGACCAGUCCUGACACACAAAG